CCCGAAACAGGUCGGACAGGUGCAGGUGCCACUCCCUGGAAACCAACGCUGCGUUCAAGGACUUCAUGAAAGCUCCUACAGCCAGGUGUUUUAUGAGCUACCAGCGGUCAGGAUCAAGGAAAAUCCAAACCUGUGACCUCACUCCGUUGCCUGAGAUGGCUGAUGCACAGCCAUUUUCCUGCCCCAUCUUUCCUGUGUGGCCCACCUCUCCUCUAAGCCCCUUCUCUCCUAACACUCCUGAGAAAGAAGAGAAAGAAAG